AUGUCAAAGGAACAGUACCAGCAGCAACAGCAGUGGGGGAGUCGGGGAGGAUUUGUUGGAAGAGCUCGAGGAAGAGGUGGAGGCCCCAGUCAAAACUGGAACCAGGGAUACAGCAACUACUGGAAUCAGGGGUAUGGGAACUAUGGCUACAACAGCCAAGGGUAUGGAGGUUACGGAGGAUACGACUACACUGGUUACAACAACUACUAUGGAUACGGUGACUAUAGCAAUCAGCAGAGUGGUUAUGGGAAAGUAUCUCGGCGAGGUGGUCAUCAAAAUAGCUACAAACCAUACUAAAUUAUUCCAUUUGCAACUUACCCCAACCAGGUGGAGACGCAGUAUUUUCUCAUUUGAAGAUUCAUUUGAGGUGGCACAUGCUACCUGCUAAUAGCAGUUGAAACUAAUUUUUGUAUGAAGUCCAUGAAUUGGAAGUAAGACUUUGGGUCCCUCUGAAGUUUAAUUGAGUUUUCAUUAAGACAGAAGUUGCUUUCGAGGUCUUAUUUCUUAAUUGCUUAUGCUUAAGAAUCAGUUUGGUUUAUGCCCCUCCCUCAGUAUUGUAGCGCAAGUCUUGUGUUCCAAAGCCCAGUGUGACAGUGUCAUGAUGUAGUAGUGUCUUACUGGUUUUUUAAUAAAUCUUUUUGUAUAAAGGUG